rnacentral:lncRNA from 1 species
GUGCAACGAAAUCUCUACAGCACAUGGUACAUGUUGUGACACCACUAGAUGUUUAAUAGGAUCCCGCGAAAAGUCUGACUUUGGUCCACGAAGGUAGCAAAUUGUCUGUGUGACCAUCGCUGGAGGCUUUUGGUACACAUAAGAUAUUUUAUUUUGUUGGUAAUCAGAUAUUUUUUUUAAUAUGCCGGAUAGCCAUUAAAACAUCACCAAGGAAAGGUUGCCAUGCUCUUUGUUAAUUUCCAUGAAACUGAUAUAGCCCCAAAGGUUUUACAUGAACACCAGUGGAUACACAUUUCAAUUUGAAAGCCACGCGGAAUCAAUAUCGGAGAUGUUUAAGACAAAUGCAUGGAUCCUGCUGGGCGUUUGUUCCUUUAUAUCUCCCUUGACAUGGCC